GACGAACGCUGGCGGCGUGCCUAAUACAUGCAAGUUGAGCGAUGAAGAUUGGUGCUUGCACCAAUUUGAAGAGCAGCGAACGGGUGAGUAACGCGUGGGGAAUCUGCCUUUGAGCGGGGGACAACAUUUGGAAACGAAUGCUAAUACCGCAUAACAACUUUAAACAUAAGUUUUAAGUUUGAAAGAUGCAAUUGCAUCACUCAAAGAUGAUCCCGCGUUGUAUUAGCUAGUUGGUGAGGUAAAGGCUCACCAAGGCGAUGAUACAUAGCCGACCUGAGAGGGUGAUCGGCCACAUUGGGGCUGAGACACGGCCCAAACUCCUACGGGAGGCAGCAGUAGGGAAUCUUCGGCAAUGGACGAAAGUCUGACCGAGCAACGCCGCGUGAGUGAAGAAGGUUUUCGGAUCGUAAAACUCUGUUGGUAGAGAAGAACGUUGGUGAGAGUGGAAAGCCCAUCAAGUGACGGUAACUACCCAGAAAGGGACGGCUAACUACGUG
rnacentral:rRNA from 1 species